AUCUGUUAUACUACGUGACAUGAUCGACUUCUACUUUAAAUAGCAUUUACUGCAUCUAUGUUAGUGUGUUGUAUUGUUUAGUUCAAGAUGUCGGUUGUCGAGAUAACCGAUGGCGCAGGUAAACACCUCAGAUUGGUGGAAUUUGAUGGCAAACUUUAUCCUAAAUUUUCAAUAGAUGUAAUUACCAACAUGAAAUCGUUAAAACUACGUGAAGAUGAUAUCAUUAUUUCUGCCUACCCUAAAUCAGGAACACAUUGGUUGUUUGAAAUAUGUCGAAUGUUGCUGGCAGGUCGAACUGAUUUACAAGCCAUUUCUAAAUCUGACUUUAUGAUUGAAGAUGUGGGACAGGACGUUUUAGACCAAGCCAAAUCCCCUCGUAUUCUGAACAGUCAUGUUGCCUUUAGUGACUUACCAACUGAUCUGGCUGUGAAGAAACCCAAGAUAAUCUAUAUUAGAAGAAACCCGAAGGAUCUUGCCGUCUCGUUCUAUAACCAUUGUUAUAAAAUAUCAGUAUAUGACUAUAAAGGAGAAUUCAAGGAUUUUAUUGAAUUAUUUAUAAACGGAACAGUUGAGUACAAUUGUUGGUAUAAACAGGUUUUAGAUUGGGAGAAAGUCAUUGAUAACAACACGGAGUAUUCUAUAUUACAUUUAACAUAUGAAGAUCUUAAAGCGGAUCCAAUAGCAGAAAUCAGAAAAAUAUCAGAUUUUUUACAAGUUAAAAGAAAUGAGGAAUUAAUUCAAGGAAUAAGUGAUGCGUGUUCCUUCUCUAAAAUGCAGACAAGAAUGUCUCAUGUAGUUGCUGAUGAGAAUGGAAAAUCUAAAAUAUAUAGAAAGGGUGAAGUUGGCGACUGGAAAAACUGGUUUACCGUGGCACAAAGUGAAUGGUUUGACCGAGUCUAUCGUGAGAGAAUGUCUGGAUCAAAAUUAAAAUUCAGAUAUUCUUUAGACGAAGAUGCGAAAUAAACCAAUAAAAACGAUA